UGGCUCAGUUGGUAGAGCAUGGUGUUUGCAACGCCAGGUUGUGGGUUCGAUUCCCAC
rfam:Salmo salar isolate Sally breed double haploid chromosome ssa01, whole genome shotgun sequence.